rnacentral:rRNA from 1 species
UACGGGGGGAGCAAGCGUUGUUCGGAUUUACUGGGCGUAAAGGGCGCGUAGGCGGCCACCGCAAGUCGACUGUGAAAUCUCCGGGCUUAACCCGGAAAGGUCAGCCGAUACUGCGGGGCUAGAGUGCAGAAGGGGCAACUGGAAUUCUCGGUGUAGCGGUGAAAUGCGUAGAUAUCGAGAGGAACACCUGCGGCGAAGGCGGGUUGC